rnacentral:rRNA from 1 species
UACGAAGGGGGCUAGCGUUGCUCGGAAUCACUGGGCGUAAAGCGCACGUAGGCGGCUUGUUAAGUCAGGGGUGAAAUCCUGGAGCUCAACUCCAGAACUGCCUUUGAUACUGGCAAGCUUCGAGUUCGGGAGAGGUGAGUGGAACUGCGAGUGUAGAGGUGAAAUUCGUAGAUAUUCGCAAGAACACCAGUGGCGAAGGCGGCUCACUGGCCCGAUACUGACGCUGAGGCGCGAAAGCGUGGGGAGCAAACAGG